AUUGAACGCUGGCGGCAUGCUUUACACAUGCAAGUCGAACGGUAACAGGCCGCAAGGUGCUGACGAGUGGCGAACGGGUGAGUAAUGCAUCGGAACGUGCCCAGUCGUGGGGGAUAACGCAGCGAAAGCUGCGCUAAUACCGCAUACGAUCUAUGGAUGAAAGCGGGGGACCGAAAGGCCUCGCGCGAUUGGAGCGGCCGAUGUCAGAUUAGGUAGUUGGUGGGGUAAAGGCCCACCAAGCCAACGAUCUGUAGCUGGUCUGAGAGGACGACCAGCCACACUGGGACUGAGACACGGCCCAGACUCCUACGGGAGGCAGCAGUGGGGAAUGUUGGACAAUGGGCGCAAGCCUGAUCCAGCAAUGCCGCGUGCAGGAAGAAGGCCUUCGGGUUGUAAACUGCUUUUGUACGGAACGAAACGGUCCGGGUUAAUACCCUGGGCUAAUGACGGUACCGUAAGAAUAAGCACCGGCUAACUACGUGCCAGCCGCCGCGGUAACAC
rnacentral:rRNA from 1 species